rnacentral:rRNA from 1 species
AUUGAACGCUGGCGGCAGGCCUAACACAUGCAAGUCGAGCGGAUGGAGGGAGCUUGCCCGUGGAUUCCGCGGCGGAAGGGUGAGUAAUGCCUAGGAAUCUGCCUGGUAGUGGGGGAUGACGUGCGGAGACGGGCGCUAAUACCACAUACGUGCUGAGGGGGAAGGUGGGGGUUGUUGGGAGCUCACGCGAUCAGAUGAGGCUCGGUCGGAUUCGCUAGUUGGUGGGGUAAAGGCCUACCAAGGCGACGAUCGGGAACUGGUCCGGGAGGAUGAUCAGUCACCCUGGAACUUGGACGCGGACCAGAGUCCUACGGGAGGCAGCAGAGGGGAAUAUGGGACAAUGGGCGGAAGCCUGAUACAGCCAGGCCGCGUGUGUGAAGAAGGUCUUCGGAUUGUAAAGCACUUUAAGUGGGGAGAAAGGGCAGUAAGUUAAUACCUAGCUGUUUUGACGUUACCAACAGAAUAAGCACCGGCUAACUUCGUG